rnacentral:rRNA from 1 species
CAGUAGCCGCGGGAAUACGGAGGGGGCUAGCGUUGUUCGGAAUUUCUGGGCGUAAAGCGCACGUAGGCGGCUUGGUAAGUUAGAGGUGAAAGCCUGGAGCUCAACUCCAGAAUUGCCUUUAAGACUGCCGAGCUAGCAGGUGAGAGAGGUAAGUGGAAUUCCGAGUGUAGAGGUGAAAUUCGUAGAUAUUCGGAAGAACACCAGUGGCGAAGGCGGCUUACUGGCUCAUACUGGACGCUGAGGUGCGAAAGCGUGGGGAGCAAACAGGAUUAGAUACCCCUGUAGUCCCUGUCUCUUAUAC